CAUGCUUUACACAUGCAAGUCGAACGGCAGCGCGGGCUUCGGCCUGGCGGCGAGUGGCGAACGGGUGAGUAAUAUAUCGGAANGUANCCAAGAGUGGGGGAUAACGUAGCGAAAGUUACGNUAAUACCGCAUACGAUCUANGGAUGAAAGCAGGGGACCGCAAGGCCUUGUGCUCCUGGAGCGGCCGAUAUCUGAUUAGCUAGUUGGUGAGGUAAAGGCUCACCAAGGCAACGAUCAGUAGCUGGUCUGAGAGGACGACCAGCCACACUGGAACUGAGACACGGUCCAGACUCCUACGGGAGGCAGCAGUGGGGAAUUUUGGACAAUGGGGGCAACCCUGAUCCAGCAAUGCCGCGUGAGUGAAGAAGGCCUUCGGGUUGUAAAGCUCUUUUGUCAGGGAAGAAAAGGNUGUGGNUAAUAUCCAUGGCUGCUGACGGUACC
rnacentral:rRNA from 1 species